GCUGGGCGUGGUGGCUCACGCCUGUAAUCCCAGCACUUUGGGAGGCUGAGGUGGGUGGAUCACUUGAGGUCAGGAGUUCAAGACCAGCCUGGCCAACAUGGUGAAACCCCAUCUCUA
rnacentral:SRP_RNA from 1 species